ACGGAGGUCACAUAUUAGGAUGAAAGGUUAGUAGAUAGUGAAGUGUUGUCUUGUUGUUCGAAGGUUUAGGCCUCGUUCGAGUAUGCUUAAUACUAGUCUAUUCAUCUAGUUCUUGCUUUAUAUAUAUUUCAUGUGUUGUUUAUUGAACUCUGAAGGGUAGCUCAACUGGUAAAGGCUUGAGGACAAAGUCCUUCAGGUUGCCAGUUCGAGCCCCAGCAGGGCCACUGGAGGCAUUACAAAUUGGCCGCGUCUUCAGAGCUCAGUGGAACUAACCGUGGUGCACCCGCCUUGAAACAGCGGGAUCCGAUAGAUAUAGCUAAUCGGAUUCGCAAAGCAAUAUUCGAAAACUACGGCAAAAAAAAAAUUAUUUAUUGUGUUUCUAUCAUCACAUUAUUUUGUUGUUGUUCCUUUCUGGUAUAUAUUUUACAAUGUACUUGUUAUAAUUGUUUUGCACUUGAACAUGUACUAAAUAAACAAU
rnacentral:lncRNA from 1 species